CAGGUACUCCCUCCGUUUCAAAUUACUUGUCGCAGGUAUGGAUGUAUCUAGAUGUAUUUUAGUUCUAGAUACAUCCAUUUCUAUGACAAGUAAUUUGAAAUGGAGGGAGUAUAUA
rnacentral:pre_miRNA from 1 species